UGGGGAAUUUUGGACAAUGGGCGAAAGCCUGAUCCAGCAAUGCCGCGUGUGUGAAGAAGGCCUUCGGGUUGUAAAGCACUUUUGUCCGGAAAGAAAUCCUUGGCUCUAAUACAGUCGGGGGAUGACGGUACCGGAAGAAUAAGCACCGGCUAACUACGUGCCAGCAGCCGCGGUAAUACGUAGGGUGCAAGCGUUAAUCGGAAUUACUGGGCGUAAAGCGUGCGCAGGCGGUUUGCUAAGACCGAUGUGAAAUCCCCGGGCUCAACCUGGGAACUGCAUUGGUGACUGGCAGGCUAGAGUAUGGCAGAGGGGGGUAGAAUUCCACGUGUAGCAGUGAAAUGCGUAGAGAUGUGGAGGAAUACCGAUGGCGAAGGCAGCCCCCUGGGCCAAUACUGACGCUCAUGCACGAAAGCGUGGGGGAGCAAACAGGAUUAGAUACCCUGGUAGUCCACGCCCUAAACGAUGUCAACUAGUUGUUGGGGAUUCAUUUCCUUAGUAACGUAGCUAACGCGUGAAGUUGACCGCCUGGGGAGUACGGUCGCAAGAUUAAAACUCAAAGGAAUUGACGGGGAU
rnacentral:rRNA from 1 species